CCCAUUCCUACCCACAAAUAACUAACAUUUGAGAAAAACGCUGUUCCCUCUCACUAUAUAAUUCCCCUAACACUCCAAGACCAUCAACUGAAAAAACAUCCUAAUCUUCAUACUGCUCACUCAGCACCUUCAAUUUCCUUUUUUCUUAGGUGAGAAGUAGUAUACUACAAACAACUUAUAUAUAUACACAUUAAAAAAAAAAAAAAGCAGAAAAUGAGUCGAAGAGGUGACAGUCGGAAGCUUGAAUUGAAGUUGAACAUAUCGCCGCCGCCGCCGCCAUCAAAUCCGGAAGUUGAUUCACCAAACGCGUCGGUUUCUUCAUUGGAAAUGCCAGCGGAGAGCUCAUGCGUGUCAUUUGAGCCUGAAGAGACAUCGAACGCCACGAUGCAGUAUACGAGUAGGCCAGCAGUAACAACUAUAAUGCUACUGGCGGGCUGUCCUCAAUGCCUCAUGUAUGUUAUGUUAUCGGACGUUGACCGAAAAUGCCCACGGUGCAAGAGCGCCGCUUGGUUGAUUUUCUAAACGAAGAAAAUACCAACCAGACGAAUAAUUAAAUAACAGCAAACUAGCUGGGUUUUUUUAUCUUUCUUGUCGUUAGUUGUCUGGUAGGACUCCUCGUCUCCCUUUUUUCAUGUUAAAUUUCAUGUUAUUUCUUGCACUUUUUAUAUUAGAAUUAAUUGCUGACCCUUUUUUCU